rnacentral:rRNA from 1 species
GAAUUCGCCCUUGGAAGGAGAAGUCGUAACAAGGUUUCCGUUGGUGAACCUGCGGAAGGAUCAUUG